GACGGGGGGGCAAGUGUUCUUCGGAAUGACUGGGCGUAAAGGGCCCGUAGGCUGUGAAUCGGGUUGAAAGUGAACGUCGCCAAAAAGUGGCGGAAUGCUCUCGAAACCAAUUCACUUGAGUGAGACAGAGGAGAGUGGAAUUUCGUGUGUAGGGGUGAAAUCCGUAGAUCUACGAAGGAACGCCAAAAGCAAAGGCAGCUCUCUGGGUCCCUACCGACGCUGGGGUGCGAAAGCAUGGGGAGCGAACAGG
rnacentral:rRNA from 1 species